UACAUGGGGUGCAAACGUUGCUCGGAAUUAUUGGGCGUAAAGCGCACGUAGGCGGUUCGUUAAGUCGGAUGUGAAAGCCCUCGGCUCAACUGAGGAAGUGCACCCGAAACUGGCGAGCUUGAGUACGAAAGAGGAUCGCGGAAUUCCCGGUGUAGAGGUGAAAUUCGUAGAUAUCGGGAGGAACACCGGUGGCGAAGGCGGCGAUCUGAGUCGAUACUGACGCUGAGGUGCGAAAGCGUGGGGAGCAAACAGG
rnacentral:rRNA from 1 species